UCAUAAAGUUUUGUACAUGAACAUAUGUGUUCGAAAUCAUUGUCUUUCUCAUUCUUUUGCUUUGGAAUGAUAUUUUAUUGACGUCUACCGUCCAACAACUACGAUUCCUAAUAAUAUGCAAUAUAUUAUUUCGAUUCAGGGAAUUCGAUGACGCAAAUGAAGUAAAGACGCCGUCAAAAACAACCAAUACACUGUCUGAAACACCUAGUACGUCUCUGCCCACUACAUCACAAAUGCCUGUAGAUUUCUAUCGACCAGUGAAAAUUGAAGAAUUGACCAAUGCAAAAAUGACUAUAAUAAUUGUUGUCCUCAGCGUAGCUUUGGUGACCUUAUUAAUUGUCGUUUUAUGGAUAUUGAUUCGCAAAAGAUACCAUCGCAUGUGCAGUUCAAAAACGCGUCUACAACCCAGUAAGUGUUCUAUUCAUGCCUUCUCAUCUCUCUCUUUCUCUCUCACUCUGCCACUGGAAGAUGAUAAACGAUCGACAAUCAACGAGAGAAGCUUUGCUAAUCAUUACCA